AAAAGCCUGUGAUGUAUUUGUUAUCCCUGUCUGAAAACUCAUGUGAGGGAAACAGCUUUAAAACUGAGGCUUUU
rnacentral:snoRNA from 1 species